GAUGAAGAACGUAGCGAAAUGCGAUAAGUAGUGUGAAUUGCAGAAUUCAGUGAAUCAUCGAAUCUUUGAACGCACAUUGCGCCCCUUGGUAUCCCGAGGGGCAUGCCUGUUCGAGCGUCAUUUCACCACUCAAGCCUGGCUUGGUGUUGGGCGACGUCCUCUUUGGGGACGCGCCUCGAAACGCUCGGCGGCGUGGCACCGGCUUUAAGCGUAGCAGAAUCUUUCGCUUUGGAAGUCGGGGCCCCGUCUGCUGGAAGACCUGCUCGCAAGGUUGACCUCGGAUCAGGCAGGGAUACCCGCUGAACUUAAGCAUAUCAAUAAGCGGAGGA
rnacentral:misc_RNA from 1 species